rnacentral:misc_RNA from 1 species
AAAGUCGUAACAAGGUUUCCGUAGGUGAACCUGCGGAAGGAUCAUUACAAAUCCAUCCACGUCUCAUUCUUGAGACCACGUUGAAAUGUUCCCUAGUGUGUGUGUGUGUGUCCUUGUCUGUCUUGGCGCGCGCACCCACACACUAGGCUUGUAAACUAGUAUUAUCUGUUGCUCAAUUGUAUCUUUCUUGAUUGUAAUGAUCAGGGUAAACAAAGUACAACUUAUAACAAUGGAUCUCUAGGCUCUU